AACGUAGGAGACGAACGUUAUCCGGAGUUACUGGGCGUAAAGGGCGUGUAGGCGGUUUGUUAAGUCUGGCGUGAAAGCUCUCGGCUAAACCGGGAGAGGUCGUUGGAUACUGGCGAACUAGAGGAUGGUAGAGGCGUGUGGAAUUCCGGGUGUAGUGGUGAAAUGCGUAGAGAUCCGGAGGAACACCGGUGGCGAAGGCGGCCCGCUGGGCAGUGGCUGACGCUGAGGCGCGACAGCGUGGGGAGCAAACAGG
rnacentral:rRNA from 1 species